rnacentral:rRNA from 1 species
AGAGGGUGCGAGCGUUGUUCGGAAUUACUGGGCGUAAAGCGCGCGCAGGCGGCCCUUUAAGUCCGCUGGUGAAAAACCGGGGCUCAACCCCGUGUCAGCCAGGGAUACUGGAGGGCUGGAGACAGGUAGAGGCAAGCGGAAUUCCGGGUGUAGCGGUGGAAUGCGUAGAUAUCCGGAAGAACACCGGAGGCGAAGGCGGCUUGCUGGACCUGGUCUGACGCUGAGGCGCGAAAGCGUGGGGAGCGAACAGGAUUAGAUACCCUGGUAGUCCACGCCGUAAACGAUGGGCACUAGACGCUGGUGGGAUCGACCCCUUCAGUGUCGAAGCUAACGCGAUAAGUGCCCCGCCUGGGGAGUACGGCCGCAAGGCUG